CUGUUCUGCUCUGCCAGAUGCCUGUCAGCCAGCACCAUUGGAAGCAGUGGGAUCCCCACAGGAGGCUGAUAUUACUGAUUGGCUGCUACAAUGAAGAUCUCCGGUCACCGGGAAUAGAAGCUGGCUUUUCAUAAGCUGUACAGCACUCCUGUCACACACCAGCAGCUGGCUCUGCUCCAAGUUGCUACUCUGAGUCCUCCUAAGAUGGCUGCUGCCCAACUGCCAACUGUCUCUGAAGACUGCUGCAACUGCCACUGCACAAGCUGUCUCUCUCUCUCUGGGAUCAAUACGCCUGUUGCUUAUUGGUCAGUGUCCCCAUGCCAGACACAGCACUCAAGGCACAGAUCCAAAACCAAAGCCAAAACCAAAAUACGAAAGGGCAGUUUUGGAAAAACCAAUCCAGUUCCAAAACUUGAGGAUGGAACCAGAACCAAAACCAAAACACAAGACAUGAAAAGUGCUCACCGCAAAUCUCUACUUACAACUGAUGUUGGCACAGUAUGACUGAUAUGAGGUGCCGUCUGAUUGUCGUGAGAUCAACCAGUGGUCUACCUGCUCCGGCCUGAUGCAUGAAAGAUGCCCUAGCUCCCGCUAAGGUACACAAACCUGACACAGGUCUUCACAGAGGCAACUGCAGGAUUAGUGAAAAAAUUAUUUUUGGGGGGGAUUAACACCCCAGCUCCCGGUGCAAAUAAAAAAUGAAUUAAGUACCUAUUCGUACAUCAGCUGCACACACUAAAGGAUUGGCAAGAUCCCCAAAGGUACAA